AAAAUUCUAAUUCCUAUUUCUAAUUAAGCAAUUCCUAUUCUUAAUUAAGCUUUUCCAUGAGAAUUUUAAUUUUUACAAUUUUUUCAUCACGUGGACCGAAACGAUGUGAUCGUAUAAUAAAUUCGAAGUAAAUAGCAGAAUUAACGUAAAUUGAAUAACGAAAAGCUUAUCAAUCGUUGAAGGCGUGUACAUUUUUUUCUUAGAAAAAAUUUUUCCUGGAAGGUGUAUACGUUACCGAUCGUAACGUUUCGGAAUCAUUCGGAGCAAAUUCGGCAUUCCGCACUCCGCUAAUAGGGGACAGAAGUGAAGCGGCGAUCGGCGAUGUAAUGGAUGUGUGGCUAAUUGAUCUCGUGUUGACGGUCGUCGCAACGCGUUUCAUCGCUGUAAGUACAGUCGCAGGAAGCUUGAUUCCAACACACGAGACAGGAGUGUGACGAGAAGUCGCGGCAAUAGGCGUAUUUCUCGAGAAAUAGUCAAAUUCGCGGAAAUCUGUCGCGCACAAGUACGCAGCAAUUCGGCCGACGAGCCGGCGACGUGGCGCCACGCGUCGGCGCCGCGGCGCAACAGCUACUACGUACUACGCAUUUCGGAUAUUGCCUCCAGCCGGCACUGACCGCGCAUUGAGAGUUCCGGUCUCGUCGUGUGUAUCUUGGCACAUACAGUUUGAGUGUGCAGUGUGGAGUGAAAUGAAUGUUGUUAUCGUCCUGAGACGUAUGCGCGUUGAUUCUUCGUCGUAUGUCGGGCGAGGUGAGUGAAGAUUAUCGCGAGGGUUCCGUGUCCGCUUCGCGACGUUUCGUGGCAUUCGUACGCUUGCCUCUUCGUGUACCAUCAUCGAUGUCGAGCAGAUUCGUAUAUUUGAGUUCUUGUGUAUGACAGUAUUGUACAUACGGUGGAACGCUCGAACUGAACGGCAGUAUAUUCUCUCUUUAUGGAGGUGUCGUGAAGUUAGCGGGCGAGCCUCUCUCGCCGCAACGUUCAUACGAUUCGUACACAUAUCGCUUCGCGUGACGUCAUUGAUGUCGGUGGAAUUCUUUUUGUACGUACGAGUUUUCGUUAGUAACUGCAAUGAGAGAAACGUUCGGGCAACACAGCGAGAUCACUCUUAGACGCGCGCGUCCUUGUUUUUGCGAGACUGCGUAAAGGGAACCCCGCGAAUCAUCGCGGACUCCGUUGGGCCAAUGUAUCGCGCGUUCGGGCAAUAUACGUACAAUACGUAUACUCGUAUGCUAUCAUCGCUGUCGAGCGAAUUCCGUUUGUACAUUCGUGUAGCUACUUCCGUUUUGAUAUGAUGCAAUAAAGUCCGCUUCGAUUAACGCCGGGAGUGACACCGUCAACAAAGUGUCGCGCGUUGCUUAGAUAAUUAGUGCGCGAUCGUAAUUAACCUCUCAUUCGCGAGUGUGUAUUGUGCAUCGACGGGAUUGGUGAGAAGGCAGAGGCUCGGGGAAGCAUCAAGCAACGGUGGAACAACCCACUGGAUUAAUGUAGCUGUGUUACAACUCCGCUGCUGCACAUCGGUCCGAUGAGGACUGGACGAUAAUCGCCCGAUGACGAACGGAAAUGGUCCACCGGCGCCUGAUCAAUGGCAACCUGCGUUGAUUAGAGGUGUGCAUCCGGUAACAGGUUUGCUAUCAAGACGGGUUCAGUGGAUCGAUUAAGGUAUUGGAUUCUUCACUCCAAUCGAAGCUACGGAUAACAGCGAGCAGGAGUGGCAGAAAAGGAAGCGCACGGCCCGGACACAAGGCUGCGAUCCGGUGCAAGUGAGGAAGAGACGAAGCUAUUCUACGAUCGGCUUCGGGACGCUUUCGAAGCCCGAUUCGAACCGGCGGCUAUCUAUGAUCGUGCUGGCAACCAAUUACGUUUCCUGAACCGGAAAACAUCGGGUCGGCGGCGGCUUAUUAGACGUGAGAACGAAGAGAAGAAGCAACGAGAGAAACAAUCGGAGAGAGACGGAGCUUCUAUGCGUGCUUGCGGAGGCGAUGCUGCGGAUAGAACAGACGAAGAAAACGAUGACAAGAGGAACGAAAAGAGACAAUGAAGUACGGAAGAGACGAUAUCCCGAGGGAGGUAAGAUCGGUCUCGGCCGAAGGACGGAAGGGGAGGAGGAAAAAAGCGAGCCGGUGUUCGUGUGGCGACACUACCGUCUCGUGCAUCGAUAGAUCUAUGGGGCCGCUACCAGUUUUUCUCGUCGCCGACAGUCUCGAUCUGACGCGAUCACGCUCGAGCCUGGUGCGUCGAUUUCCGCUCGCCGACGACUUCCCGGGAGCGAGGAACGCCCGAUCUGUACCGCCGAUCUCCCGGCAGAACUUUUAACUCGCGCGGCUUUCCGAGAUUCGAGCGCGCUGCCGCGAGCCGACUGCCGCGCUCGUUUAUCGCGUAAUAAAUUACGCGCGCGGCGUGAAGCGGCGCGGCGAGCACGUGCGAUGCCGAUGCAUGCGCGAUUCUCUCGCGCCAGCGUACGAUCACAACCGCGUCACAUUCCGCGAGCGGAAUGAUCGAUCACGGCGAUGAUCGCCGGUAUUACUGCUAUAGAGAUCGCCACGUAUCUGCGCGAGGAUUGUACGGCGAGAUUCUCUAUUAAAUUUCGAAGCGAAUCGCACUUCCGCCUCGGAAGUAAUUGCUUUGGUGUUCGAUCGAUGUCCAUUGCAUGUUAAAAUCAUCGCAUGUUAACGUCAUCGGAAUUGAUUAACCUCAGUGAUGAAUCGUCAAAAUCAAUCUUAAAACAGCUUUCGAAAUUCACGGCGCGCGCAAUUUUUCAGAUACUAUUUUUUUUUUUUUUUUAACAAACUGAUUAUAAUAUUUUAACGCUCAUAGCUUCUUUUUUACAGAUUACGAAAAUGCAAAUAUUAAAUCAUUUGCUGCAGGCCUUGAACGAGAGGAACUUUUAUUACAGCUAAGGAUCAUCUCUAAAAUGUCACAUCCGUUUACGCACAAUAAAAAAUAAUUACACUGACACGAUUUUUAAAAACUGGGAAUUCUAGAUUUUUUUUUAUUAAAUCUAGCAAAAUAAAAAUAACCGUUUGUAUCUCGCAUACAUAUGUAAAGUUUGCUCUUUUAUAUUCUGCGAAAUGUUAUAAUGUAUUAAUUUCUGAAAAUAAAUUAUGCCAACGUUUUGUUGAAAUUAUCAGCCAGACGAGUAUCUCGUAUUUUCUUUUGAAAGUACCGUUACAUUCGUUGAACGUCUACUCCUGGAAUAUAUUUAAAUAGAAUAGAUUCCGCAUUCACAUACAUACGUGCACGUAACAUAUAUUACUGGACUAGAUAUUACAUUGUGACAGAUAGAAGUCGUACAGUCGUGAACUACGAUUUACGCGAAUCGUUUCGCACGAGUGUGCUCUAUUUAUACGACACAGGUGCGUAAUAUGGUCUCAUCAGUGUAACAUAUGUCAAAUCGCUUCCUCUCCGUUCCUCUAGCUGAGCCGAUUUAUCGAUCUACUUAUCGCAUUUGCCGUUGUCCGGCGGUAAGCAACUGGUAUGGCCGACGAUAACCACCAUCGCGAUACGGUAUUUACGGUCGGCUUUGUAUACCUAGCGCGGCUGACCUUCAUCGUGCUAAUCGCGCGCCGCGGAAUAAUCCAGCGAGUUGCUGAAUAUUUAACGCUCCGCAAAUCACGCGACGUAUUGCCAGUUGCAUAGGUACCGAUAAGCUCCCGGCGUAUACCGUGAUAUAGUACUCGCAUUAAAAUAUCAUGUGUUACCGACCUGUUAUCCCGAGAAUUAGUGACUGCGCUGACUAGUCGGCCAGCGCGCGCACUCAUAAAUCGCGCUUAACUAAUUGAGCAAACACACAUAUCGCGCGCGGAGCGUGAAUCGAAUCGCGCUUCUCAUUCGCGGACGCGGUUUUCCGUUCACGCGCUGCUGGCGAAAUCAAUUCGCGUAUUUCGCGUGCUAGAUCAAGUCGGCUCGCGGGCACUCCGUCCGACGACUCCCGUAUGCCUCGUUCCCUCGGUUUUCCUCUCUUGGACAGCCGCGCAUUAUCUCCUGUCCGCCCCGUUACGAACGCGAGUAGGCGAGAACGCGGACCUACUGUGCGCGGCCGCGAUUUGCAUCUGGCGCUUGUUAGCCGCUCCGCGCGAGAGCGAUUUUCUCAGCAGCCAUGAAAAAUCGAUCUAAUCUCCACUGGGUGCCUUCUCGGAUCGCCAUCUGCCAGGUAAGUUACGACACUCCGCGGGGACGUUUCGCUCGCGUACGUGGCAACCAGGACCACCGGUGCCGCUACUCGCAGCGCGAACGGAGAUGCGGAUUCUCUCAUUGCUGUUAUUCAUUAGCAAACGUAACUCUAGAUGGAAGAGGGAGCUGUUGCAUUUAUAGGUCAUUUCUCUCGACAUCUAAUUAUUAUUAUUUGGCCAUACACGUAGGUAUAGGCUUUUAAUAUCGCCCACCAACGAGAGAAGAUCCGGCUUAAGAAAAAUGCCUCGACUCAUCGAUCGCUGGAAGAACACUUCGUUUCUUUUCACUUGCUUUCUCUCAACUUUAUAGUCAAUUAAUCACGGGAAGGGGAGGGCAGGCCAGCUCUCCGCUGCCGGGUGCGAAACAACGCGAGGCGUUGGCGUUCUGUGCGAAAUUUUACGAGCUAUCAUCGGCGCACCGUUUAUUAGGAAUCCCAAGCAGAAGCGUCUUGCGGCGAGCGAGCUCGUUCGGGCGCGCGCAUUACUAUUGCAACGGAGAUGAAUCGUAUUCCCACAAGACACGUAGAGGGAUUAUAUAACCUUUGAUCUUCCUUACAACGGUUCAUCCAUUGUAGAGGCUCUUUCUCCGAACCGCGAGCGCAGAAUCUAAAUUAUUGCUUAGAACUUUCUUAAAGAGCGUAGAUUAUUAUUUAUCAUCGUGUGCGUGCGUGUGAGAGAGAGAGAGAGAGAGAGAGAUUUACGCAAAUGAUCGAACAUUUUGAGCCACCAGAUGUUUGCGUUUAAUAGUUACGUGCGGCAUUUUAUGCGCGCGGCCGCGCGCAUCAUCUCGUAAGUAACGUUAUUGGAUAGAUCGAUAUCAUAUCUCGCAUCGUUUCCCAUUACAGACGAUUUAAUCCAACAAAUAGAUAAGACUUUUUGUUAAGGCGUAUAUUAUUGCGCAGAAUAAAUCUCAAGUACGGCCAAAGUUGUAAUUCUUGCAUGCAGUUCUUUGAUAAUAUAUAUUUAAGUCAGAUUAUUACUCAUCUUAGUUUUCAUUUGCAAAUGAAUUGAUGACAACUUCCGACGGUUGGGUAUAAUAUUAAUAUAAUAUUGCAUAUAUCUUAGAAAUAUUAAUAUUUUUCUGGUCUAUAACAAAUCGUAAGCUUUUCUUUUACGGAACAGUAAAUUGAUACAUAAAGACAAGGUGAAAAAGUAAAAUACUUAUCAAUGAAAUGAGACGUUUGUUUUCUAGCUUAGCCAAAGAAACUGUAAAGGGGACCCUUUAUUGCAGAUAUUGUUGUAAUCGUCAUAUCGAGCGUAUCUCUUCUGGUUAUCAUCGAUACGAUCGAGGAUUACGAUACCUAUAUCGGCACGAUUUGAUCCUCGUGCAGAUACGUAGCAUAGGGAUAGAGCGACGCAGGUCGCUCGUGUGUGUACAGCGAUUGGUAAGCGGGUGAUGACCUAGCCACGAUCGGGCCAUCACGUCCAUGGCAUGCUCUGGCCAUCCGUCGACUCGCUCCAUAUAAUUUGGGGCGCUCACGUGACCCUGAAACGACCGGGGGUCAACGCCACAUUUGUAAUCUUCGAGACGCCGACGCGACCUGUUCGCACGUUGAUCCUACGCCUAUUACCUGCGCGGAGAGUGUAUGACGAGGACGACCCGAUAGCGGCGAUAGCGACGCGACCACGUCAACCGGGAUCGAUGAAUCGUCGACACUUGCCUGGGUCGAUGUAUGCCCGAGAGGCGAAACUGCAAUUCGCACAGCGAAAAUGAUCAUCUUUGCAAGGUAUUCUUUAUAUUGCGGCUUUAAACAAUAAUUUAGACAUGCGGUGCUACUUAUAUUUUUUUGACACGAAUACUACUUUGGAUGAAAAUCCAUUCUCAUAGUUAGGAAUUUUCUUUUAUACUUUUAAGAUUUUUCAAAUAUUUUUCUAGAUUACGAAAUGUUAGAAUAACUGAACUAACAUUAUUUUAAUCCUGUUUUAAAACUGACACGUCAUUUAAUUUAAAACCUCUUCUCCGUGUUUUUGAUUAAUUGUAAAUUUGUUAAUUUAAUAAUUUUGUUUAAUUAAUAGGAUCAUAAUUAACACAAAAUAUGUCAAUUAGUACAUUGAACAUUAUUUAUCGAAAUUUAUCUAGAGCGUUAGGAUGUGAUAUAAAAUUAAGAUGUAAAAUUUUCAGAAUCUUUCUGUAAUCAUUAUUUUUCACAAACUUAAACGAGCACUUGCACUCGGAAAUUCCUUUUUUCUUCUAAUUGAAAUACCUAUAUAAAGUGUAAAACUUGUAAUUUUAGAAAAAAAUAAAAUAGUUAAUUUUUUUCCCCUGA